rnacentral:rRNA from 1 species
GACGAACGCUGGCGGCGUGCUUAACACAUGCAAGUCGAACGGAAAGGCCCUGCUUUUGUGGGGUGCUCGAGUGGCGAACGGGUGAGUAACACGUGAGUAACCUGCCCUUGACUUUGGGAUAACUUCAGGAAACUGGGGCUAAUGCCGGAUAGGAGCUCCUGCUGCAUGGUGGGGGUUGGAAAGUUUCGGCGGUUGGGGAUGGACUCGCGGCUUAUCAGCUUGUUGGUGGGGUAGUGGCUUACCAAGGCUUUGACGGGUAGCCGGCCUGAGCGGGUGACCGGCCACAUUGGGACUGAGAUACGGCCCAGACUCCUACGGGAGGCAGCAGUGGGGAAUAUUGCACAAUGGGCGGAAGCCUGAUGCAGCAACGCCGCGUGCGGGAUGACGGCCUUCGGGUUGUAAACCGCUUUCGCCUGUGACGAAGCGUGAGUGACGGUAGUGGGUAAAGAAGCACCGGCUAACUACGUG